GCCCCGUUGCGGCGUGCUAUACAUGCAAGUCGAACGAACUCUGGUAUUGAUUGGUGCUUGCAUCAUGAUUUACAUUUGAGUGAGUGGCGAACUGGUGAGUAACACGUGGGAAACCUGCCCAGAAGCGGGGGAUAACACCUGGAAACAGAUGCUAAUACCGCAUAACAACUUGGACCGCAUGGUCCGAGUUUGAAAGAUGGCUUCGGCUAUCACUUUUGGAUGGUCCCGCGGCGUAUUAGCUAGAUGGUGGGGUAACGGCUCACCAUGGCAAUGAUACGUAGCCGACCUGAGAGGGUAAUCGGCCACAUUGGGACUGAGACACGGCCCAAACUCCUACGGGAGGCAGCAGUAGGGAAUCUUCCACAAUGGACGAAAGUCUGAUGGAGCAACGCCGCGUGAGUGAAGAAGGGUUUCGGCUCGUAAAACUCUGUUGUUAAAGAAGAACAUAUCUGAGAGUAACUGUUCAGGUAUUGACGGUAUUUAACCAGAAAGCCACGGCUAACUACGUGCCAGCAGCCGCGGUAAUACGUAGGUGGCAAGCGUUGUCCGGAUUUAUUGGGCGUAAAGCGAGCGCAGGCGGUUUUUUAAGUCUGAUGUGAAAGCCUUCGGCUCAACCGAAGAAGUGCAUCGGAAACUGGGAAACUUGAGUGCAGAAGAGGACAGUGGAACUCCAUGUGUAGCGGUGAAAUGCGUAGAUAUAUGGAAGAACACCAGUGGCGAAGGCGGCUGUCUGGUCUGUAACUGACGCUGAGGCUCGAAAGUAUGGGUAGCAAACAGGAUUAGAUACCCUGGUAGUCCAUACCGUAAACGAUGAAUGCUAAGUGUUGGAGGGUUUCCGCCCUUCAGUGCUGCAGCUAACGCAUUAAGCAUUCCGCCUGGGGAGUACGGCCGCAAGGCUGAAACUCAAAGGAAUUGACGGGGGCCCGCACAAGCGGUGGAGCAUGUGGUUUAAUUCGAAGCUACGCGAAGAACCUUACCAGGUCUUGACAUACUAUGCAAAUCUAAGAGAUUAGACGUUCCCUUCGGGGACAUGGAUACAGGUGGUGCAUGGUUGUCGUCAGCUCGUGUCGUGAGAUGUUGGGUUAAGUCCCGCAACGAGCGCAACCCUUAUUAUCAGUUGCCAGCAUUAAGUUGGGCACUCUGGUGAGACUGCCGGUGACAAACCGGAGGAAGGUGGGGAUGACGUCAAAUCAUCAUGCCCCUUAUGACCUGGGCUACACACGUGCUACAAUGGAUGGUACAACGAGUUGCGAACUCGCGAGAGUAAGCUAAUCUCUUAAAGCCAUUCUCAGUUCGGAUUGUAGGCUGCAACUCGCCUACAUGAAGUCGGAAUCGCUAGUAAUCGCGGAUCAGCAUGCCGCGGUGAAUACGUUCCCGGGCCUUGUACACACCGCCCGUCACACCAUGAGAGUUUGUAACACCCAAAGUCGGUGGGGUAACCUUUUAGGAACCAGCCGCCUAAGGUGAACAAGGAAUGG
rnacentral:rRNA from 1 species